UACAACCACCUGAAAUGUGGUUCCAGAGCACUUUUUGGGGUACAACCGAAGGAAAUGGGGUCCCCAGACCACUUUUUGGGUACAGCUGAAGAAAAUGGGGUCUCCAGACGCCUUUUUGGGGUAUAAUUGAAGGAAAUGGGGUUCCCAGACCCCUUUUUGGGUACAACCACGUGAAAUGUGGUCCCCAGACCCCUUUUUGGGGUAUAACUGAAGGAAAUGGGGUCCCCAGACCCCUUUUCGGGGUAUAACUGAAGGAAAUGGGGUUCCCAGACCCCUUUUUGGGUACAACCACAUGAAAUGUGAUUCCCAGAGCACUUUUUGGGGUACAACCGAAGGAAAUGGGGUUCCCAGACCCCUUUUUGGGUACAACCACGUGAAAUGUGGUCCCCAGACCCCUUUUUGGGGUAUAACUGAAGGAAAUGUGGUUCCCAGACCCCUUUUUGGGGUAUAAUUGAAGGAAAUGUGGUCCCCAGACCCCUUUUUGGGUACAACCACGUGAAAUGUUGUUCCCAGAGCACUUUUUUGGGGUACAACCGAAGGAAAUGUGGUUCUCAGAGCACUUUUUGGGGGUACAACCAACAUGGAAGCGUUGUUUCCCUCCCAAUUCGGGGUACAACAAGGCGAAAACUUCGUCCCCUCCCACCGCAACCCCAAAAAGACACCGCAAUCCUUCAGCCCUCAGCCACCAGCGCCGCCAUGUUGUCACCGUCACGACAUCACCGCCACGUUGUCACCACCCAGGUGUCACUGCCACACCGUCACCGCCAUGUUGUCACCGUCACGCUGUCACCGUCACACCGUCAACGCCAUGUUGUCACCAUCACGUUGUCACCAUCACGUUGUCACAGUCAUGCUGUCACCGUCAGUCACACCGUCACCACCAUGUCACUGUCACGCUGUCAUCGUCACAUUGUCACUGUCACAGUGUCAGUCACAUAACUGUCACGUUGUCACCACCAUCGUGUCACCGUUGUCACCAUCACCACGUCAUCACUGUCGCACUGUCACGUUGUCACCGCCAUGUUGUCACCAUCGUGUCAUCACUGUCAUGUUGUCACUGUCACCACCAUGUUGUCGCUGUUGUCACCGCCAUGUUGUCGCUGUCGUCACCGCCAUGUCGUCACUGUCAGGAUGUCACCGCCUUGUCGUCACCACCAUGUUGCCACCACCAUGUCGUCACUGUCACAUUGUCACCGUCACGCCAUCAUCACCGCCAUGCU
rnacentral:lncRNA from 1 species